rnacentral:rRNA from 1 species
AACGAACGCUGGCGGCAGGCCUAACACAUGCAAGUCGAACGCCCUAGCAAUAGGGAGUGGCAGACGGGUGAGUAACACGUGGGAACCUUCCCUAUAGUACGGAAUAUACCAGGGAAACUUGGAGCAAUACCGUAUACGCCCGAGAGGGGAAAGAUUUAUCGCUAUAGGAUGGGCCCGCGUAGGAUUAGCUAGUUGGUGAGGUAAUGGCUCACCAAGGCGACGAUCCUUAGCUGGUUUGAGAGAACGACCAGCCACACUGGGACUGAGACACGGCCCAGACUCCUACGGGAGGCAGCAGUGGGGAAUAUUGGACAAUGGGCGCAAGCCUGAUCCAGCCAUGCCGCGUGAGUGAAGAAGGCCUGCGGGUUGUAAAGCACUUUCAGUAGGGAAGAAAAGCCGAGUGCUAAUAUCACUCGGUCUUGACGUUAC